rnacentral:lncRNA from 1 species
GGAAAAAUUAUCAGUACUCGAAAUUUUUUUUCAUUAUAAUAUAGUUUUAAUAUAUUUUAAGUUACUAUUCGCAUCCUAAUACAAACUUUAUUUUGCAGGUGGUUCAACAGUAGCGGAGGGAAAAUUAGAAUAUUACUUGAGGAUCAGACAGCCUUCCUUGUACAGAAUGUUAGUGAAGAACAAAGUAUUUAAUUCUGGUUAAUGAAGUUCUGCGAAUAUUUUUUUUUUUUUUGUGAUAUGUUUUCGGAUAUAUAUCAAUUUGUUAAAUCGUGUAUAGCAAAAAUUUAUUCUUUUUUAUUCGGUUUGUAAAUAACAUCGAAAUGUAGCCAAACCAAUGAAUGAAAGAGCGCGUAUCUGUUUAUCGCUCAUUUGCAUAAGGUCAGUUAAAGUUGUAAGAUGUUACAAGAAGCUUAUUGGAUGACAAGGGUAGAAAGGAUUGUAUCAUUGGAUGGCGUCACAGUUCCUUAGCUCAGUUGCGUCCUAUUGGCCCGUCUUCUUGUGUGUACCAAUCGAUGCUUUUCUUUUCUUGUUAUUUUUCUACUUCAAUAACAAGUUGUGGUUGUCAACAGUUAGGUGAAAAGGUUAGACGUUACAUUACCGACUGUGUUGACACUUUCCCAUACGUUUUGUUCGACUCUAAAGAAUAAUAUGUUCGCUCCGAGAUUCGAAUCGAAUCUUUUAAUCUGUUAAUAAAUUAUAAAUAUAUAUAUAUAAAUAAUCUCGAACAGUAAGCGGAAUCCCGUUAAACACCGCAUUAGUUGCUCGGAUAGAUAACGCCUUAAAAAAAUAAAAAGUAAUAGAAGAAGAAAAAUAAGGAAUAGUAGCUUGAUAUAUUUUGAUACUCGGGGUAGGCUGGUUUAUUUUGCAACAGGGGAUCUUAUCCAUCAAUUCCUUAACAUAUAUUUGUUUCAUGCAAAUCCUACAGUGUAGAUUUUAAAAAUCCCAAGCGACUUUAAAUAACCACAGUAUUUGACGUUAUUUGAGUCAUGUCUCUUCAUCAGUAGUCCUGAGCCAAGUCGCUGGUGGUCCCCAUUCCCCAAACCAAGCAUUACUUCUGUUAUAGACGAAUGGAUAGUGGGCAUUUUUCGCAGUGUUAGAGAAUAUAAAAGCCCUCUGUGCCCAAUUCGUCUUGUUUUACUAUGCUCAAGUAUGAGAGGAGUGUUUUUUUUCCGUUUCGUAACAAACAAAAGAGGCCUUGCUUCUGUAACUGAUUCCGGGAUUUUAGACCGAUUAUUAAUCGGUGGAGGAUCAGAGACCUCGCUGUUCGGUAUCCAAAUCGCUUUAACGACUGUUAUCAUUAUUGUUACGAUGGCUGUUGUUGCUAUUGUUAUUAUUUUAAGAAAGAUAGGAAAAUUAUGCACGGCAUAAAAGCAAAAUCUUGUCACCACGCUCGCAACCUAGAGGAAAUUAGAAAACCGGUCGAAAGACCUAGCUUUAUUGAUUGAUUGAUUAGCUGUAAGCGGUCGACUAUAAACGUGUAGACAAGCCAUUAGCCGGACAACCAACUCCCCCAUCAAAAACAAUGGACAGAUAAACCCUAAGUGGCCAUCCUUUCACCGCCUCCUAUAGCAGCCGUCUCUUUUGUUGUUUUUUUUUUCUUCUGUCUCCUCUUUCUUUCAAUCGAAACACACAAAGACAGCAGUAUGCAUCAAAAGCCAUUAAACACUACGACCAACUGUCUCCAAAGCCAAACAGUUAUAAAUCACCAACUCUCAAGUACUCUUACAGUUUGUAGGUUAGAAGAAAAUUAAUUUAUUUAAUGCCCGAAUGAGGCUUUUAGGUCUCCUGAGGGAGCAAAAUCGUAAACGAGGAUUAAAAAAUUGAUGAUAAACCAAUAUCUAAUUCCGCAUUAAUUCCCUCUCUCUCUCUUUCUCUCUUCGCCUCUUUUUUUUUUUUUUUUAACUUAAAAGUCGAAUUUUUAUAGGAAAGCGGAAAGAAUUUUAUUUAUAAUUAAAAAAUUGUUUUACUCAUUUUUCGCCGCAUUGUUAAAAAAUUACGAUGGCAUAAUUAUAUAGCGCAGGAAAUUAUAACUGUAGCGCAUUUUAAUAGCUUAUAAUCUAUAUGCAUUCUGUGCAGGUAUAAAGUGGAAAAGUGUACAUCUGCUGCUCGACAGUAAAGCGAUACGAUGAAAAGAGGCUUUUUUUUCCAUAAUUUCCGCACGAUUGAUUCGCUGCAAAUUGCCACAGAAGUCGUUAAUUGUCCGAGUCAUAAAAAAAAAAUUUCUUUAAUUAUCUGCCUUCUUUUAUGAGCUUGUUUUUAUCGCACUUCCGGUGACGUCAUAUCCGGAUGUCCAUUUUCUCCAUUCGCGAUAAUGGUCAAUAGAUAAAUUGGUCGCGACGGAGUUGACAGGAGUCUAUAGCCAGCAGUCCACAGACAGUUAUAAUAUACGCUUGAGUAAUUCUUUCGCUCGUAGGAAAGAACAUUGAUCCACAUCCUCAUUAAGGAGAAGCUUUUUGAUAUUUCAAUUUAAUUCGGAAAAUUUAUUAAGGGUGCAAAUUGAAGGUAGCGUCGAGGAGAAGAAAAAAUAUUAUAUAUAUAUAUAUGUUGCGUGUAUGUAGAUAGGUUAUAUGCAACAGAUAUUUUUUUAUUAUUAUUAUUAUUGAGAGAAAACCAUAAGCAGUAAGCAAUGUAUGGCGUUUGAUGGAUGAGGAUAUAUCUCCUAGACUUUUGGUACCAGAUGAAAGUUGAUGAGAGAUGAGGUUUAUGAUAGAAGGCAUCUAUUGUCUUUCAAAAGGCCGAUCUAUCAUACCUUAACUUGGCAAUUAAAUAGGCAGCGACGACUAUCCUUAACUCUUAAGCACAGAUUUUUUUCCUAAUCUCUUUCACCCUGCCAAAGUUUUUAAUUUCUUUACAUAAUUAAUAAAUCUCCAUUCAAAGAGUAAUUCCAGUCCAGUGUUUUUUAACGAUUUAAGCGCGUUUUUUCCCCCUUAAUUUCCCGAAGAGAAGAAGAAGAAGAACGGGGAAAAAAAAUAAGAUUUCUAGAUUUUGAUAAAUCUACGUCGCUCAAGAGAUAAUUUUUAAUAGUUAACGCAGUUUGAACGGAUUUUUAGCAGUUUAGAAUCCGUGGGAAUUUUUUUCUCCCCCUUUUUUUUGCCAAGAGUUUAAUUAGUAUCACCC